AACCAUUCUCACCUGCGGCUAGACCUGCGGAAGGAUCAUUAUUGAAUAAAUCUGACAUGGUUGUAGCUGGCUCUUCGGAGCAUGUGCACACCUGUCACCUUUAUCUUUCCACCUGUGAACCCUUUGUAGUCCCAGGAUAACCUCUCGCGCACUCUGGUGUUGCGGAUGCGAAGGUUGUUGUGCCUCUGGCCAGCUCCCAUCGAAUUUCCUGGGUCUAUGUUUCUUAUACACCCCUGUAUG
rnacentral:misc_RNA from 1 species